GGCCGUCUGGCGCAAUGGCAGCGCGUCCGCCUACGAUAAGCAGCCCCCUUCGGGGUUUGAACCUGCUUAGGUAAGCGGGAGGUUGCAGGUUCAACCCCUGCGUCGGUCA